CUACGGGGCGCUCCAGUGAGGAAUUUUGCGCAAUGGGCGAAAGCCUGACGCAGCAACGCCGCGUGAGUGAUGAAGGCCUUCGGGUCGUAAAGCUCUGUCAAGUGGGAAGAACCUAUGUAAUGUUAAUAUCAUUAUAUACUGACGGUACCACUGAAGGAAGCACCGGCUAACUCCGUGCCAGCAGCCGCGGUAAUACGGGGGGUGCAAGCUUUAUUCGGAAUCAUUGGGCGUAAAGGGCACGUAGGCGGCCUGGUAAGUCAGAUGUGAAAGCCCGGGGCUUAACCCCGGAAGUGCAUUUGAUACUGUCAGGCUUGAGUAUGGGAGAGGGAAGUGGAAUUCCUGGUGUAGAGGUGACAUUCGUAGAUAUCAGGAGGAACACCGGUGGCGAAGGCGACUUCCUGGACCAAUACUGACGCUGAGGUGCGAAGGCGUGGGUAGCAAACAGGAUUAGAUACCCCAGUAGUC
rnacentral:rRNA from 1 species